rnacentral:lncRNA from 1 species
UUACAUUAUUCAUCCUAGCAAUUUUAGCUAAACGAUCAGCAACACUAUUCACAAUACAUGGAAUUUUAAAAAGUUUCUCUUUCUCUCUCUCUCUUAUCUUUUCUCUCUUUAGGCGAUUUCCAGCGGUGUCUGGAUAGUUCUUCACCGCUUCACCUCUAUUUUGUCACUCAGUCGUGUGUGGUUUUCUCAUUUCCCAUACAUCGAAAUCCUCUACAUCACAGAGAACAUGGAUAAGGAUCUCUGUUAGAGUUACAAAACCUGAAUCUAGGUUCAAAGAUUUCAUAUGAAGUUGUCGAUCGAAGCAACAAAGAAGAGAGAAGCAAAACAUCGUUUUAGACUUGUAGUGAAAGGGCUUAAUCAGGAAAUCGAAAGAGCAACCGGAAUCAGGUUUAUUGAUAUAUUCAUAAUUUACAUGUUUAGGAUUGCAUUUUUAGUCCAAGUUUAGAGUCUCAUUCAUACAUUUUAGAUAGAUUCAUCAUGAGUUACACUUGUUUUAGAGUUUUAGGGCUUUGCAUUAGGUCCAAGUGAGUUUUGCAUGUUUUGGAGUGUUUACAGGUGAUGUGGAACCAGUUUGGACCUGAAAAGAUGAAGCCAGGAAAAUAAAUGGUGAAUGAAGCUUUAAAAAUGGUGAAAACAGUUUUUUGGAGGUUAUCGGCGAUGGCCCAGGAAGCUUCUCUCGGCGAUUUUCAUGUACCGCAGGUUGACUCUCUUGGCUAAAAACCUUACCGCGUGUUGAAGUCUCGGCUAAAAUUUCUCUGUGUCAGUAUGCUCUAAAGAUCGCGUUACCAGAAGCCCUUCCGGUCCAAUUCAGAUGUCGGGUGCUUCAGCAAAGUUGGAGAGGAUCGAGUCACGGUUCCAGAACAGGUGGAAUCAUUGGAUUUGAAGUAGUGAGCAGAGAGUUGAGCUCACCGGAAGGCACACCGGAAGCUAUUUAAGCUUUUUAAACCUAAUUUGUUCACAACUUUUAUCUUAUCUCUUUUUUCCUUACCUUUUUAGUGUAAAACCGACUUUGAUUAAGAGAUAUCUGGCAGAUUUAAUCAUUUAAAAGCUGUUUCUUAUCAUUGCAUCAUCUCAUCUUUGCUUCUAAUCAUGCUUAACUUCACCUCUUCCAAAAGAAAUGGUGUGUUCUUCAUGAUUAGUGAGUAGUCAUCUUUUAAGCUUCUAGGUGUGUAGAUUAGAGUGCUUAGAUGCUUGAUUUAUGAUGUUUAGGUUCUAGAUUCUCAUUUCCUUUCCUUAGUUAGCUGCUCUUAAUGCUAGAUCUUUGCACAUCACUCUGAUCUAGACCUUAGGCAUUUUUCCACCCACAAGGUAUUUCAUGAAAUGCCUGAAAGAGCUAAACUAAGGUUUUAUGCCUUUUUCAUCAUGAGAGUGAUAGUAAAAUGCAUAAAUGACAUAUUAGAACUGUUUCUUAAUGCUUAUUGAUUCAUAUUUCACAAAUGAGAAUUUGGUUUGAAAAUGGAUUAGUAUAGAGGUUAAUGCCUUCAUUAGAGGAUUAAUCUAGAUUCGAGUUCUAAGUUAAUUGAUUUUGAGAUCAUGUGAUUACUUGUUGCAUCUUUCUGUGUAAGAUUCAGUGUUCUCUUAAGUAGAAACUGUGUGGUCAUCAUUAGACUUGAAACUUUAUGCUUGUUGAUUGCUUGAUCUUGCUUAAGAUGAAUUAAUCUUGAUUAAGUGGUUUGCAAAGGGAUUAUUGGCAUGGGAAUGAAUUAAUCUGCUUUUAAAGUCUAGACUAAAGAGUAACAAGUGUUUCAUUAUGUUCUUAGCAUCAUGAAUCAACAUUGAAAGCAUCCUAAUCAAUGAUCACUUCUAGAGGUUUAGCUUUCAUCAUCUUUAUUAUCAUCAUCAUCUUCUUUGCUUGGUUGCUUGUUUAGUUUAUUAAUAAUCAUUGCUUUGCUUGUUUUAUGUUUUAUGCUUCUUUGUUACUUUGUUCACCACCAAAACUCCCUUUAUUUCACUUGACUUAAAGACUUGUCACAUAUACUAAUGCCUGACUACCACACAUAUAGAUUUGAUACCCUUUAUGCUACAACAGAUAAGGGAUUGAUAACCCUCAUUUUAGAGCUUAAAAACUUUAGUUAUCAAUUGAUGCUGUUGCCAUAUUGUGUGGGCAUUGUUAGCAUUAGUUUCUGAUAUAGUUUUUGAGAUCAAGUUUAUUUUGUUUUACUGAUUCCCUUUCAAG